UAGAAUUCCAGGUGUAGAGGUGAAAUGCGUAGAGAUCUGGAGGAAUACCGGUGGCGAAGGCGGCCCCCUGGACGAAGACUGACGCUCAGGUGCGAAAGCGUGGGGAGCAAACAGGAUUAGAUAGCCUGGUAGUCCACGCCGUAAACGAUGUCGACUUGGAGGUUGUGCCCUUGAGGCGUGGCUUCCGGAGCUAACGCGUUAAGUCGACCGCCUGGGGAGUACGGCCGCAAGGUUAAAACUCAAAUGAAUUGACGGGGGCCCGCACAAGCGGUGGAGCAUGUGGUUUAAUUCGAUGCAACGCGAAGAACCUUACCUGGUCUUGACAUCCACAGAACUUUCCAGAGAUGGAUGGUGCCUUCGGGAACUGUGAGACAGGUGCUGCAUGGCUGUCGUCAGCUCGUGUUGUGAAAUGUUGGGUUAAGUACCGCAACGAUCGCAACCCUUAUCCUUUGUUGCCAGCGGUUAGGCCGGGAACUCAAAGGAGACUGCCAGUGAUAAACUGGAGGAAGGUGGGGAUGACGUCAAGUCAUCAUGGCCCUUACGACCAGGGCUACACACGUGCUACAAUGGCGCAUACAAAGAGAAGCAAUCUCGCGAGAGCUAGCGGACCUCAUAAAGUUGAUCAUGGUUCAGUGGGAGUCUGCAACUCGACUCCAUGAAGUCGGAAUCGCUAGUAAUCGUGAAUCAGAAUGUCACGGUGAAUACGUUCCC
rnacentral:rRNA from 1 species